rnacentral:tRNA from 1 species
GCCGAAGUGGCGGAAUUGGCAGACGCGCCAGGUUCAGGACCUGGUGGGGGUUAACCCCGUGGAGGUUCAAGUCCUCUCUUCGGCA